AGACUCAAAGCGUGAUUGGGGAAGGCCAGCGAGCUGCGAGAAGCCAUUGCGGCUUUGGGAGGCCGUUUCUGAACGUGAAGUUCCGUUUCUUUUCUCAUAAAGUGCAGAGGAGAAAAGGAUACUUAAAAUAACCAUGAGAGUGAUAGAAAUUAUUAUCAGUAGACCGCUCGCACACUUCACCCUUUGCUCAGUCCUCUCACGGGGUGGAGACUAGACAUGUACUUCUGCAAUUUCACAGAUGAGUUGACAUUGGUCCCUGGAAAGCCGCAGAUGCAGGAUUUGGAGCAGAUUAAAUGAACAAACACUGGAAUGAGGCGGCAUAAGGGUUGGGGGAGAAAGAUAAAUUGGUGAAAUGGGAUGUUUUUGUGGCCAAAGGUGAAAUCUUGUGGGAUCUGAGAAGUUGAUGAGAAUGGAGAAUGUUCGCACGUAGUAACUAACGAUGUUACUACUACUGUGGACUGAAAGUAAAUGCACCGUUUAUUUCUUAUCCCCUCUCCAGUUAUUUUAAGUCGAUAGACUUUUUUUUACGGUCACAGAGAAGCCUUAGCGGGGCCAUGCUGCCAACCACUCAGCUUUUUUGGAGAGGCAGUAUCAAAUAGUAGUUUUAA
rnacentral:lncRNA from 1 species